rnacentral:lncRNA from 1 species
UAAAUUUUUUUGCAGAAAAUAUGAUUUUAUGGGUUUAUUAAUGUAUGGUGGUCAAAUUCAAAAAGAUUACGACUUCACAAUAACUAUCUUGUGGGUUCGUAGAAUUGGUUUUAUGUCCAUUCAUAUAACCGUCGAAUCAAAUCCAAUGAAUAUGCCUCAUGGCCAUGAGAACAAUAUUAUCUACGUAACAAGUCCAAGAAUUUAUCUGAGAAUAGUAUGUGAUUCUCAAUAAAAGUGGUGAGAACAAUAUUAUUAUCUUCGUAACAAGUUACUGUUUACUAAGAGAAUCAUUUGUGAUUCUCAAUUAAAGCGAUAAGAAUAAUAUUAUCUUCGUAAGUCUUGUUGAGAUGAAAGAUUACAUGGCUUCCAAACUCAAGUAUAAAUAAUUAUAUACACUGUAUAUAUAUUGUAUAUUUAUUGUAUUUUCUAGUAUACAUUGUAUAUGUGGGAGUUGGGCUGUGAUGAUUUGUUGAUUGGGUUUUAAAUAUCUGAGCCCGUUUUAUCUUUUGUUCUUGGGCCGUCUGACCCGACCCAAGAGUGACUGUAUAUAAGUCACAUGUACAGAUAUUUUCAUUUAGGGUAUUCAUUUUAUCUUCUGGCUUUCUCCGUUUGACCCGACCCAAGAAUGAUUGUAUAUAUGAACACAUAUGCUUUGUUGUUCAACAUCUGAGUCAAUUCCUAAAAUGCCCCAGACUUCCACAUAUGAUUGCUGCCCUGCAUGUUUUGAGAUACCUUAAAGGCACUCCUUCUAUGGGUCUAUUUUAUUCUGCAGUGCUGAUUUCUCUGUUGUUGGUUAUUCUGAUAGUGACUGGGUUGCAUGCCCUGAUACUAGGAGAUCUGUUACUAGAUUUUGUGUGCUUUUGGGUGGUUGCCUAGUUAGUUGGAAAUCUAAGAAGCAACCUGUUGUUUCUUUGUCUUCUGCUGAAGCAGAAUAUAGAGCCCUCAGCAAAGUUGUUGCUGAAUUAUCUUGGCUUUCUCGUUUAUUGGUUGAUCUUGGGGUAUCUGUUUCUCUUCCUUUUUCUGUGUAUUAUGACAGCCAGGCUGUUGUCCAUAUAGCUACCAAUCCUGCUUUUCAUGAGCGUACCAAACACAUCGAGGUGGACUGCCAUUUUGUUCGGGACCUGCUACAGAAUGAUUUUCUCAAGCUGCUUCAUGUUCCUACUUCUCGUCAAUUGGCUGACCUGCUCACUAAGCCAUUGCCUGGCACUGUGCUUCAUCCGCUGUUGUCCAAGUUGCAGGUGGUUUUCCCCUCCAACUUGAGGGGGGGUGUUGAGAUGAAAGACUACAUGGCUUCCAAAACGAAGCAUAAAUGAUUGUAUACACUGUAUAUACAUUGUAUAUUUAUUGUAUUUUCUGGUAUACAUUGUAUAUGUGGGAGUUGGGAUGUGAUGAUUUGUUGAUUGGGUUGUAAAUAAUCUGAGCCCGUUUCAUUUUGUUCUUGGGCCGUUUGACCCGACCCAAGAAUGAUUGUAUAUAUGUAACAUAUACAGAUAUUUUAGGUAAGGGGUAUUCAUUUGUCUUCUGGCUUUCUCCAGAAGCUUCUGUUUCUCUCUCUGUCUCUCUCACUGUUCAUCUUCAUCUUCUCUGAUUUUCAUCUUCAAAU